rnacentral:rRNA from 1 species
UACGUAGGGGGCAAGCGUUGUCCGGAAUCAUUGGGCGUAAAGAGCGUGUAGGCGGCCUGGUAAGUCCGCUGUGAAAGUCCAGGGCUCAACCCUGGGAUGCCGGUGGAUACUGUCGGGCUCGAGUCCGGAAGAGGAGUGUGGAAUUCCUGGUGUAGCGGUGAAAUGCGCAGAUAUCAGGAGGAACACCAAUGGCGAAGGCAGCACUCUGGGACGUGACUGACGCUGAGACGCGAAAGCGUGGGGAGCAAACAGG